CCAGCCGGUUGUUUCUGGUGGAUUUCCUUGUGUUGCUCUUCUAUGACAGCCAAGAGUUUUUCCUGUUGGUCAAGAAGUCUCUUCUGUUGCUCUUGCUGCUCCUUGAUCACCUGCAGUAGCACGGCGUGGUCCAGCUGGCCCUCUACAGGACAGAAAUGUGGAAUU